GACGAACGCUGGCGGCGUGCCUAAUACAUGCAAGUAGAACGCACAGUUUAUACCGUAGCUUGCUACACCAUAGACUGUGAGUUGCGAACGGGUGAGUAACGCGUAGGUAACCUGCCUGGUAGCGGGGGAUAACUAUUGGAAACGAUAGCUAAUACCGCAUAAUAUUAAUUAUUGCAUGAUAAUUAAUUGAAAGGUGCAAUUGCACCACUACCAGAUGGACCUGCGUUUUAUUAGCUAGUAGGUGAGGUAACGGCUCACCUAGGCUACGAUUGAGAGCCGAACUGGUAGGGUUGACGGCCAACAUGGGACUGAGACAAGGCCCAGAAUCCUUGGGGAGGCAGCGGUAGGGAAUCUUCGGCAAUGGAGGAAAGUCUGACCGAGCAACGCCGCGUGAGUGAAGAAGGUUUUCAGAUCGGAAAGCUCUGUUGUAAGAGAAGGACGGGUGUGAGAGUGGAAAGUUCACACUGUGACGGUAUCUUACCAGAAAGGGACGGCUAACUACGUG
rnacentral:rRNA from 1 species